rnacentral:rRNA from 1 species
GGCGAAGCUGAUCCAUCAAUACCGGUGUGUGAAGAAGGCCUGAGGGUUGUAAAGCACUUCAAUAGGAAGGAAUACCUAUCGGCUAAUACCCGGUAGACUGACAUUACCUAUACAAAAAGCACCGGCUAACUCCGUGCCAGCAGCCGCGGUAAUACGGAGGGUGCAAGCGUUAAUCGGAAUUACUGGGCGUAAAGCGUGCGUAGGCGGCUCGCUAAGUCAGAUGUGAAAGCCCCGGGCUCAACCUGGGAACGGCAUUUGAAACUGGCAAGCUAGAGUUUAGGAGAGGAGAGUGGAAUUUCAGGUGUAGCGGUGAAAUGCGUAGAGAUCUGAAGGAACACCAGUGGCGAAGGCGACUCUCUGGCCUAAAACUGACGCUGAGGUACGAAAGCGUGGGUAGCAAACAGGAUUAGAUACCCUGGUAGUCCACGCCGUAAACGAUGUCAACUAGCCGUUGGCUCUCUUAGAGAGUUAGUGGCGCAGCUAACGCAUUAAGUUGACCGCCUGGGGAGUACGGACGCAAGGUUAAAACUCAAAUGAAUUGACGGGGGCCCGCACAAGCGGUGGAGCAUGUGGUUUAAUUCGAUGCAACGCGAAGAACCUUAGCUAACCUUGACAUCCAAAGAAUCUGUUAGAGAUAGUAGAGUGCCUUCGGGAUCUCUGAGACAGGUGCUG